GAUAACCCCUACCUCCAGCCUUACCCCUUCCAAUUCAAGGGCCACCUUUCAUUUUUGCUUGCUUACUUUGCAUGCCACCCGCCCCCCGGUUAAUUACCCCUUUCCCACCCUCCCCAUACCUCGGGAAUACCCUUUCAAAAAAAAAAUAAUACCCCAAGGGUUUAUUCAAACCCCUGGGUCCUUCUUUUAAAAUUUUUUGGUUAUCGAUGGGGAUGCGUUCCAUUAGGUAGUUGGCGAGGUAACGGCCCACCUAACCUACGAUGGAUAGGGGUUCUGAGAGGAAGGUCCCCCACAUUGGAACUGAGACACGGUCCAAACUCCUACGGGAGGCAGCAGUGAGGAAUAUUGGUCAAUGGACGAAAGUCUGAACCAGCCAAGUAGCGUGAAGGAUGACUGUCCUACGGAUUGUAAACUUCUUUUAUAUGGGAAUAAAAUUUCCCACGUGUGGAAUCUUGUAUGUACCUUAUGAAUAAGCAUCGGCUAACUCCGUGCCAGCAGCCGCGGUAAUACGGAGGAUCCGAGCGUUAUCCGGAUUUAUUGGGUUUAAAGGGAGCGCAGAUGGAUCGUUAAGUCAGCUGUGAAAGUUUGCGGCUCAACCUUAAAAUUGCAGUUGAUACUGGCUUCCUUGAGUGCAGUAGAGGUGUGCGGAAUUCGUGGUGUAGCGGUGAAAUGCUUAGAUAUCACGAAGAACUCCGAUUGCGAAGGCAGCUCACUAGACUGUAACUGACAUUGAUGCUCGAAAGUGUGGGUAUCAAACAGGAUUAGAUACCCUGGUAGUCCACACAGUAAACGAUGAAUACUCGCUGUUGGCGAUAUACAGUAAGCGGCCAAGCGAAAGCAUUAAGUAUUCCACCUGGGGAGUACGCCGGCAACGGUGAAACUCAAAGGAAUUGACGGGGGCCCGCACAAGCGGAGGAACAUGUGGUUUAAUUCGAUGAUACGCGAGGAACCUUACCCGGGCUUAAAUUGCAAAGGAAUAAUUUGGAAACAGAAUAGUCGUAAGACAAAUGUGAAGGUGCUGCAUGGUUGUCGUCAGCUCGUGCCGUGAGGUGUCGGCUUAAGUGCCAUAACGAGCGCAAACCUUGAUCGUCAGUUACUAGCAGGUAAUGCUGAGGACUCUGGAGAGACUGCCGUCGUAAGAUGUGAGGAAGGUGGGGAUGACGUCAAAUCAGCACGGCCCUUACGUCCGGGGCUACACACGUGUUGCAAAUGGGGGGUACAGAAGGCAGCUACCUGGUGACAGGAUGCUAAUCCCAAAAGCCUCUCUCAAGUUCGGAUUGAAGUCUGCAAACCCGGACUUCAUGAAGCUGGAUUCGCUAGUAAUCGCGCGUUCAGCCAUGGCGCGGUGAAAUACGUUUCCCGGGCUCU
rnacentral:rRNA from 1 species